rfam:Schistosoma haematobium scaffold994_9, whole genome shotgun sequence.
AUCCAAAUGAAAAGUCCCUAGUAGAACGAAACGAGCGUCCUGGAU